AGCAGUAUUGGAAUCUUCGGCAAUGGGCGGAAGCCUGACCGAGCAACGCCGCGUGAGGGAAGAAGGCCUUCGGGUUGUAAACCUCUGUUGGAAGGGAAGAACGGCGCGACCAGGGAAUGGGUUGCGAUUGACGGUACCUUCCGAGGAAGCCACGGCUAACUACGUGCCAGCAGCCGCGGCAAUACGUAGGUGGCGAGCGUUAUCCGGAUUUAUUGGGCGUAAAGGGUGCGUAGGCGGUCCGGUAAGUCUGAGGUGAAAGAACAGGGCUCAACCCUGUAAAGCCUCCGAAACUGGCGGACUGGAGUACGGGAGAGGCAGGCGGAACUCCAUGUGUAGC
rnacentral:rRNA from 1 species